AAGGAUCAUUACCUAAGGCUACAGGUUGGAACUAGUUUCCUCCUGGCUUGAACCUUUCAACCAUCUGUGAACCAAAAAAAUUUUGGCUUCGGCAGCAGCCUGGGGUGGGUAACCGCCCUCCGGCUUCAGCCUGCCGUUAGCACCCUUAAAACCUGGAAUGAACAAAUCUGUCUGAGCACCAAAUUUUCGAAUGAAAAUCAAAACUUUCAACAACGGAUCUCUUGGUUCCC
rnacentral:misc_RNA from 1 species